CGGAGGGUGCGAGCGUUAAUCGGAAUUACUGGGCGUAAAGCGUACGCAGGCGGUUUGUUAAGCGAGAUGUGAAAGCCCCGGGCUCAACCUGGGAACUGCAUUUCGAACUGGCAAAACUAGAGUGUGAUAGAGGGUGGUAGAAUUUCAGGUGUAGCGGUGAAAUGCGUAGAGAUCUGAAGGAAUACCGAUGGCGAAGGCAGCCACCUGGGGUCAACACUGACGCUCAUGUACGAAAGCGUGGGAGCAAACAGGAUU
rnacentral:rRNA from 1 species